ACGAACGCUGGCGGCGUGCUUAACACAUGCAAGUCGAACGGUGAAGCGCCUUCCUUUUUGGUGGGUGUGGAUGAGUGGCGACCGGGUGAGUAACACGUGAGUAACCUGCCCCCUUCUUCUGGAUAACCGCAUGAAAGUGUGGCUAAUACGGGAUAUUCUGGGUCUGUCGCAUGAUGGGUCUGGGAAAGAUAUUGUUUCGGUGGGGGAUGGGCUCGCGGCCUAUCAGCUUGUUGGUGGGGUGAUGGCCUACCAAGGCGGUGACGGGUAGCCGGCCUGAGAGGGUGGACGGUCACACUGGGACUGAGACACGGCCCAGACUCCUACGAGAGGCAGCAGUGGGGAAUAUUGCACAAUGGGCGCAAGCCUGAUGCAGCGACGCCGCGUGAGGGAUGGAGGCCUUCGGGUUGUGAACCUCUUUCGCCAGUGAAGCAGGCCUGCCUCGUUUGUGGGUGGGUUGACGGUAGCUGGAUAAGAAGCGCCGGCUAACUACGUG
rnacentral:rRNA from 1 species